rnacentral:misc_RNA from 1 species
GGGCUUCAGACAAAGUAUGGAAAACUUUACAGAGCACACACGUAUAAUGUAAAAACAACGCAGCUAAUAGAUAAUUAUUUCUCUUUUUUUCAUCGUUCAACAAAAGGAACAAAGCAUUACAAAAAUCCAAAUGACAAACACAGUUGCAAAGUGAAGCCAAAUAAAUCAAUCACUGCUAAAAGCAGAUAUGAAAUACAAAAUAACUUUGUGAGACUAUCAACUCUAGAGCCACAUGUGAUUAUAAUGAAGUCACAAGACAUUACAAGCCUAGGAGACCUCUUUGCACAUCUCAACAUAAGCAUCGAAUUUUGAAUAGCCCUAUAAGUUAUAACACUACUGUUCAUGCUCUAAGGGCAACAUUUAAUCAAAGUCUGAGGAAUCCUAACUGCCACUUCAUUUCAGGAAGUAAUUCAUUAGUUCUUAAUGAACAGCAAACUUACAAAGAAAAAGAAAAGAUUAAUAUUAAUAAACAGAAUUUAGAUAUUUUUAUUUUUAUCAUUGUUAGAUGACAGGAAAAUAAGCGGAAGAGAAAACUCACGAUCAGAAUAAGGUGUGAUGCAA